UACGUAGGGGGCAAGCGUUGUCCGGAAUCAUUGGGCGUAAAGAGCGUGUAGGCGGCCCGGUAAGUCCGCUGUGAAAGUCGAGGGCUCAACCCUCGAAUGCCGGCGGAUACUGUCGGGCUAGAGUUCGGUAGGGGAGACUGGAAUUCCUGGUGUAGCGGUGAAAUGCGUAGAGAUGUGGAGGAACACCAGUGGCGAAGGCGACUCUCUGGUCUGUAACUGACGCUGAGGCGCGAAAGCGUGGGGAGCAAACAGG
rnacentral:rRNA from 1 species